CAAACCCAUCCAUCUCUCUAUCUCUUGCUGUUCAUAUAAUCUCUCUCUUCACCCUUUUGCAACUAUUUUUUUUCACCGUUCUCUAACCCAUCUAUCUCUCAUUUCAUCCUUCAAUCUUUCACACCAUCUUUGUCUCCCACCUUUUUACAGAUUUUUUUAAUUUUUUAUUAUUUCUUCAAUGCCCAUAGACUAAACAUGUCUUUUCAAAUGAAUUCUUCGUUACAAUCGCUUUGAUCCAUCCCUUUUGAUGAAAACCUGUAAUAUGCCCUGAGGAAUUUCUACCAGCAAAAAUGUCUACUUAUUUUUUACCUUUGGUUACGAUUAUGGCUGAUUUGUCCAUGCCUCAAUUUCUUAAAGGAAUUUUAUAUGGGCUGAUUUAAUCAUAUUAAUGACAACUUAUGGAGUACCUAUGAAUUUUGAAUCAUUUAAUGGUAGAAUUCCCUGAAAAUAAUUGUGGUGUUCAUGUUGCAGGUCCUUCAAAUAAGGCAUGUGAUUUAAAUGUUGAAAGUGUUGUAAUUAUGGCUGCUUUGUUUGAUGCCUUUGAAUUUACUCUUUAUGGUAUUUUUUUCUUAAAUAUGAUAUUCUUGAAUUUUUUUUGUUAUUUUAUUGACAAAUUUUGCUUGGAUUUUAGUCUUUUUUGUUGACAAAGGUUAUGUUGGUGAGACAAAUCUUUUAUUGAAACUUAAUUAACAUAUAUAUGUAUGUGUGUGUGUUACUUCAUCAUUUCUCAAAGAAUUCAAUUUGUGUACAAGCCCUUGAGAUUGCAAAGGCAUAAUUAUUAUAAUUUGUGUACUUAUAUGGUGUAUUUUAACUCUUUAUAUAUAAGAUGUUGGUAUACAAACCAUUGUAGAAAUAGAUCUUUUUGUUGUUAAAUACUAAAUCUAUGCCUAUGGUGAUUCAUGAAAUAAAUUUAAGCUUAACUUAGUUUGAUGAGAAUGCUACUAACUUUGUCAUUGAAUGGUUGAAAGUGGAUUUCCAUAAAGAUUUGAAUAAUGCUAGAAUAAAACAGUAAAAUAACUGUGAGGAGGUUUGCAAGACAUAUUAAGGUUUUCUUAAGUGGUUUUGGCUCUAUAGGCAAUAUGUUAUUAAAGUUGUUUUUAUUCCUCUAGGAUACCCACUUCCAAUAAAAAUAGUAAAAAAUAAACAAGUGACGUUUUGCUUCAAUUUAAAUUUUUAUCUUUAUUUUAUUGGUUUUAUUUGUAUGAUAUUUAAUGAAAAACAUUUUUUUUGACUUAUUUAUCUGUUAUGGCAAUGACUUCAAUCCUUUACUCCUCUCUAUUACACUGAAGAUAAACUCAAACAACCUAAGGUCGAUUUAUUUUUUUAUUUUUAGUUACUAUAAUCUGUGAAAUUCAUAACUUUGACAUGUUAUUAACACUAUAUUUUGUAACUUUCUUUCUUUGAAGCUAACUAAUAUAUACAUGUUGUGUCUUCUAAGAAAAGAAAUACAAGUUUUGGAUAUUAGAUACAAGUGAAAAAUUAGAACCACUUGGAAAAAGAAGAUAGAAGAAUAAAAUUGUAUAUAUAAAAUAAAUAAAUGAUUCUAAUUUUAGAAACUCAUUGAUAUCAAAUGCGGUUUUAACUAAGAUGCUAGGUCAAGAGUUAUUAAACAAAAUGUUGGAAUAUUUGUGUUUGUGAAAUAUUUAAGGAGGAUUAGUUUUAAAUGCUAUCAAAUUUCUUUCACAUGCUAAAGUUAAGGGUUGUGCUAUUACUGAUAAAUGAUUAUUUCCUUUGAGCAUAUCCUUGUAAGAUAAUUGUCACGAGAAUCUAUACUUAUAAUAAAAAUUAUCUCCAAUUGAGCUUUAAACAUCCAUCUCAGCAAUGUCUUAAACAAAAAUGAAGGGUUAAAUUUGGGAAGAAACAUAUUUAAGCUUUCAACAUAACGCAUGCCUAACACCUGUUUAAUAAAAACUUAUAAAGAGUCGCCAGGUUUGAGAAUGACAAAAUAUAGAGUGAGAGGUAUUUGGGACUCGCGGACAUCAUUCACUUCUCUAUUUUUGAGGUAUCUAGAUAGAGUGCACUGUUUGGAGUUUCAGUUUGUUGAGCUGGUUUUAUAUGUAAGUUCUGUGAUUUUUUUUGUUGAUUCUUGUGAAACACUUGUCAAUGAAGAUGAUCUUAACUCAUAUGAAGUUCUUUUGUAGUUAUUGAUCAUAUCUUGAAUUCUUUUUUAUGAAAGUUCAUGCAAGUUCAAUACUUGCAUUAAUUGCAAGGAAUUUCUAUUCAGUGUUUGUUCCACUGUUCUUCAGGUUUUCUGCUGCAUUUUAAAUAUGCGUUUUAGUUCUUUACUUGUUCUUACAACUUCAUUUAGAUACAGAUUCAUUUGUGUAGCUUAGAGUUCCAAACCGUUAAGUAUCACGCUGUAGUUUCAUUUUCUGUUCAUGCAAAUUCAGUGCAGGUGGUAACUGCAAACAUUUUCUGUUCAAGUGUUGCUCCACUAUUUUUCAAGUUUUUUGCUGCAUUUUAAAUCUUCAAUUAGUCCUAUAAUUGUUCAUACAAAUUUCAUUUUAGAUAUAAGUUCAUUUGUAUAGUUUAGAGCUUCAUGCUGUUGUGUAAUGAUGCAAUUCAUGUACGUGUUUGGUUCUGUUCAUUGUUGAUACAUUUUCUUUACACUUUGGUUUUUGCAUUUUAGUUUUUCAUUUAAUGCCUUUAUCUAGUUCUUCAUUUUGGAUAAGUAAAGUUCUAUUGAUUCAUCAUUAGAAGACAAAUCAACUUUAGCAUUCAAGUUACUUCCUCGUUGCUACUGGUGUGACGUUUUACGGUUUAGUUUUGAUUUCAUGCAAGCUUUGAUCUAUUCUCUGAGCUUCUGUUUAGUGCAAUUGUGACUUCACUAGUUAAUAUAGGUUGAACAUUCGUUAAUUAGUUUUCAGCUAGUGUACUCAUUAUUUUCAGGUUUCUAUCUUAGCCACUGUUCUCUCUUAGCCUCAUGCAAAAGUCAGUUUAGGAUUAGUUUUGGUUGCAUUUGAAAUUUUAACUUCCAUUUCAUUAUAGGCAUCAUUGCCAGUUUAUAUUAGAUGUCAUUUUCAUGUUCCAUAAUUCUAGAAUUUUAGGUAAUAUUUGUAUGUAAUUGUGUCACUGCCUUUCAUACUCACUUUUUCAUUUUGCAUUUUAUUACAUGUUCUUGAAUUUUUAGAAUUAAUCGUACAAGAUUUAGUUGUCAAUUUAGCUGUCAAUUAGAUUAAUCAUAGUGAAAUUUUAAUUGGAAUUUUUUUUGGUUAAUUUUUCCAUUGCAUUUUAUUUUCAUAGUAUUAAUUUCAUUUUUUUUAUGGUAUGUUUUCUUAUUUGAUUUUAGUUGUUAAUUUUAUAAGAGUUACUUUUUUAUAGAUAUUGAUUGUUCAAAUCAACUUUUGAUAGGGUAUAAGAUAAAGGUACUUAGAUUAAGAAUAUCUUUAACUAAUCUUUGUGGGAUUGACAUUUAGACUUUUAUAAUCUCUAGUAUCACUUGAACGGCCUGUGCACUUACAGGAUUUUCCAAUCAAUUAUUAACCAGUUAGUUUGCUAACAUCAUUCUUGGGUGUUUUGCUUUGCUCGCUAGAAUAAACUUUUGAGAGAUUGCUUGGGUCAACUUUCUCAAAAUAAACGCCCAGUGGUCAAAGAAAGAUGUUGAAUAAACAACGGUUCCUUAAUUCAGAAAGCAAUCAUUUGGUCUUAGGCAUCUAAUUUUCUUAAUAGUGUUCAAUUUCAUUUCUUGGGUUUUAGAUAUAUGUAUGUAUUUCAAAUGAAAAUGAUGGGUUUUGAAGUGUUUUAGUAGAAAGUGAAGGUUUUGGUUGAAAUAGAGAUGAUUGUAUCAUAAAAUUAGCUGCCAUUUUUCUUAUGAGAAGAGAAGCAAAGCAAAAAAGUGUUUCAGAGUUUCUUAGAGAUUCUGCUUUAUAAAAUUGAAGUUGUAUGAUGUUAUUUAAUCUAAGCAGCUACCCGAUCGAUAUCUCUACCAGAAAGCUAAUCCCUAGAAUCUUUAAUUUAUUUUCUCCGUUUCUUGAUCAAUUUUUUCUCUCAAAAACUUUUGGAUCCCAAGUUCACCGACAAGGCAAGUCUUUACCUUGCAUGUUCUUUUUUUUUUUUUCCUUAAAUUCUCUUUAAUUGUUUCGAUAAAGGUUAGUAGAUUUUGCUGUUGUCGUUGAAGAACUUUGGUGGCAGGUUUUAAAUUAUGCAAGGCUUAAUCACAGUACAAUUUUGUUUUUCAAUUAUUUGAAACCAGAAACUACUGUUUCAGGGUGGAGUCGUGUUCGCUUAAAUGCUUCUAAAAUUGGGAAGGGAUUGUCUAAAAACACGAAAGCACAAAUUGGGUUUUCAACAUUGGAUUGAAGCUAUUGAUCCACAUCGUCGCUACGGGCAUAACUUGCAUAUUUACCACGAGGAAUGGUGUAAAGCUGAUGUUGGUCAACCAUUUUUCUACUGGUUAGAUAUAGGGGAUGGCAAAGAUAUUAAUCUCAAAGAAUGCUCAAGAUUGAAGGUUAAACAACAACGUAUUAAGUAUACUGGACCUUGAAGGAAAUGGCAUUAUAAGCACAUUGUUGUUGAGGGAAAGAUUAUCCAUAAACAAACCAGGAAAGUACUGGAUACAAUCUAAGGAUUGAAGGAGGGAAAAUGCAUAUUUGUUAUGAGCACCUCCAAGAAAUUGUAUGCCGACGAGGCUUGAAGAAGGUACUAAAUGCAGAAGAAGGGGAGCUGAUUGGUCGUAUGAAGUCCAUUUUGUGACCAUUCAUCUUGAGUUGCUUGAAAUUAGAUGUGAUGCAGUAGCUCAUCUCAAAGAUACAAUUGAUUGCAUAGUAUUUUACCUCAAAGCUAUUUCAGCAAAAGCCCUCAUGGAUACAACAGAAUGUCAGGUUUGUGCCUCAUAUACAUUGUUCAAAUAUGACUCUCCCAUAGAUGUGAGGAUGAAAUUAGAAAAGAAGCAGCUAGAAGAGGGAGAUUGCUUACCAUCUGGUCAUGUCCCAACAUUAUCAAAAGAAGUUUGCUUACUUAUUAAACAUAAUGAUCUGAAAAGCCUAUAAGAUGUAUGGAAUAGUAUGAACCUUUCAAGACAUGAGGCUUUUUGUGAGAGGUUUGGACAUAUUGCAUAUUUCUUAUCAGUGAAGGUUGACCAUUCACUUAUCAAGGCGAUGGUAUAGUUUUGAGAUCUUUCUUAUUGAUGUUUCAUAUUUAAUGAGAGUGAUUUAGUACUAAAAUAAAGGAGUACUCAACUCUAGUGGGUAUGCAUCUACUGUAUCCAGAUAGAAUAUACAUGAAGAAACAUAAAUUAGGAAGUUGCAAGAAGCUGGGUCAAAUUCUAGGAGUAGGAAAGGAAGUCAUAGAUUCAUACAUCCGAAAAAAAAGAGAUCACAAAGGUAUUCCAUGAGAGGUUCUCCAAGAUUUCAUUACCAAGCAUUUAGAUGAUCAGGGAAUGAAUACAUUUACUCUAGCCAUAUAUGGGUUGGUCAUUUUUCCUAACAUUUUAGAUCACAUUAAGAUAAAAGUGGUAGAUUUAUUUGAGCAAAUUGAAAAGGGGUGUAAUUUUUCACCAGUUAUCUUGGCAGAAACCAUCAGAUCUUUGAAUUUUUGUAAGUAGAAUGACAAAACACAUUUCAUGGGCUACAUACCUUUAUUGUAUGUACGGAUGAAGAGCCAUUUCAAAUGCAAGAAAAGUGCAUUUACCAAACUUUAUUUUUGCACUCAAAGUUCGAUUAGGGAGUUUUAUCAAAGCAUUUGGCCAAAAGCAAAGACUUAGAAAGAGUUGAAGUGUCUGCUGCAAGGGUUCACCGCUAGUCAAGUAAAAUGGUUAGCUUUAUGGAUGGAUAGGGUACCUAUGUUGUAUCAAUGUGGAGUUAAGACAAGGGUCUCUCUUUUAGGCCUAUGGGGGUUGAUGAGUUAUGCACCAUUUAUGGUAAGGAGAUAGCAUGGAGCCGAACAGUUUACUUUUAUGACUUGCAAGCUUAGCUAGUUUGAUUGUUCAUAUGGGGAGCCUGAAAUUUUUCAAAAGAUUGAUAGCUUGAUUAAGGCUUGGAAUAAGCUUAAGAGAGUAAGCUUACGGCUAUUCAUUAAUAGAGUCACUCAAGGGCAUCUGAUUUGGAGAAAUAAAAAGGGUCAGGAAAGCCUAUUUAUGCCUUAAGAUCAUCACUUACCAAUGGUUCAAGUGUCAGAUAAUAAGCUUUUAGAGUUAGAGUAUGAAAGAGAGAAGGAGAAGCUAAAGCAAGAAACUUUGAAGCUAUAAGAAAAAAAAUAGUGGUAAAAUAAAGCUAAAAAAUUAGAAAUCCAAGUCCAUAGGAUUUUCAAGGAAUAUAGCAAGGUCCAAAAAAUUGUUAGAGAAUAAGAUGAUACCCUUAAGGAGUUGAAAGAGAUACGAAAGGCGUAUAAGAGGUUACAUAUACAGGUACAAGCCAAAGAAAUAAACAACACAGAGCUGGCUCAUAAGAAUGAAGAGUUGAAAAAAGAGCGUGCCCAAUAGAAGAUGACUUUAUGGAGGUUAAACAGGAAAACCAAAUGCCUGUAGAUUACAUUUUAACUCUGACAUUGAAGCUGAAUGAACAAAAAAAUCAUGUCAAAACCUUCAUGAAAAAGCAUAAAAAGUUAUCCUAAUAGGUGUGGUGCGACAAAAAAGCAAGGUUGGAAAGAUAAAGAUACAUAGAGCCCCUCACAGCUCAGAUAGGUAAGGUGUGAUCAAAGCAAGUGAGAUGGUAGAAAAGGUUGAGGCACUGAGAGUUUCGGUUACACCAAUAGGGGAGCAUGGAUAGAGGUUGCUAAAUUUCAUUAAGGAGGCUAAAGAUCAGUAUGAGCAAGUUAGGUGUUUUUAUAAAGGGAUCGUAUUAGAUUUGAUGUAAAAUAGACUCCUGUGGAAUAAAUGAAAAUUUUUUUUUGUUGAAUUUUCUUUUAAAAGGGUAAAUAUUAUUUUUUUUAUUUUUCAUGCAUUUGCAUCACACUCAUUCAUUCAAUCAUUGUCAUAACAUCAUUAUUGAAUCUUCAAUUGUGGUAUUAAAGUAUAAGAAUAGCUACACAUCCAUAUAAUCCAUAUAAUACUCAGGGUAAAACUAAGAAAAUGGAGUAAAACAAUGCGAGUCCUCUUGAAAAGAUAAAAAAAAGCCCAAGAAGCACUUGAAGAAAAGUUGAGUAAACUUUUAAAAGCCCUGAAAAAAAUAAAUAGAGGGAAAUCGAUGGAAGAUGAUACUUCACAAGAAGCUACUGAAUUAACAUAUCUCUUAGGCUUCAGUUUACAACAGAAUCAAACUAUCCUAAUUUUCUAACCUUAACAAGUAGCUUUUUCAAAAUACAAUUACCCAAGAGUGACUUAUGCAUCUGGUCAUAAGAACGUCCAAAGUUAUGACAAUCUUGUUUAUGCUGAAAAGAUAGCGAAACCCAUUCAACUCCUUACUGCAGAUGAAUCAAAAGAGAAAGAGAAGCCACAAACAGUUAUGCCCUUGGAGAAUUUUAAGACUGAUCAUGCAAUGAAUAGGUUUAAGGAAAGAUUGAGGGCUGUAGAGGGAAUGGAUUUUUUAUGGAUCUAUGAAUGCAAUAGGAUUUUGCCUAGUACCAAAUGUGGUGGUGCCACCCAAGUUUAAAGUAUCAAAGUUUGAAAAGUAUGACGGUACUAAGUAUCUUAUUACACAUAUCACCAUGUACUAUCGUAAAAUGAUGGCACAUGCUAGUAAUGAGAAACUGUUUAUGCAUGUGUUUCAAGACAGCUUAACUAGAUCUACAACGAGGUGGUAUGUUCAAUUAGAUAGAACUCGUAUAAAGAUAUAGAAAGAUCUGACUCGAUCUUUUAUUAAUCAGUAUCACCAUAUCAUUAACAUGGUUCCCAAUCAUUUUUUCCUGCAAGCAAUGGAAAAAAAGGCAUCUAAAUCCUUCAAGCAAUAUGCCCAAAGGUGACGGGAUGUAGCUGACCAAGUAUAGCCUCCCUUGAUGGAAAAAGAAACUAUUGUGUUGUUUGUGAGCACUUUAAAAUCGCUCUAUUAUGAAAGAAUGAUUGGAAACGUGACAAAAAACUUUACUGAUAUAGUGAUUUCGAGAGAGAUCAUCGAAAAUGCCAUAAAAAAUAGUAAGCUUGAAUGAGGUGAAUCUUUUAAAAAAGCACCUAAGAAGAAGAAGAAAAGUGAGACUCACACUGUGAGCCUUGAAGGUUAGUAAUUUAGACAUUACUCUCAGCUUACCUACCCUACAUACCAUCACAUAGUGAGCCAUAUUUUUACAUCUUCUUACCAAUCAACCACUCGACCAUCUUAUCCAUAUUCACCAAGAUCCCUUCCUCACCCAAUCAGCAUUACAAGUAAUGUCAGAGAAGAACAAACCAGGGAAAGACCCACUUUUGAUCCUAUACCUAUAAGCUACAUAGAGUUUUAUCAAGAACUCUACAAAAACCAUUUAAUUGCUCUUGUUCCUGCCAAAUAGCCUAAACUUCCUUAUCCCAAAUGGUAUGAUGUCACUGCCCAUUGUGACUACCAUUAUGGAAUAACGGGUCAUUCUACUAAAAAUUACCUUUAAAAUAAAAAGUGCAGCAUCUGAUUAAAGAAGGGUUGAUAAGUUUUGAUACCAAUGGGAGCUCAGCACCUAUAGUAGGAAUCUCUUGUCCAGUUAUAUAGUCAAUGCCCUGGACAAAGAUAAGAGGCAUAUAAAAAGAAAGGUAAAAGAGAUUAAACUGCUUUAUGAUACCUUAUACGAAGCUAGAUUGAUACAACCAAUGACUCAAUGCACCUACAUAAGAGGAUGCAUCCCCAAUCAAAGGUGUAAGUAUCAUAGUAGAGCUCAAUGGCAUUCUAUUGAGAAAUGUCGACAAUUUCACUAAGGUGCAGAGAUUAAUAAACUUUUACCAAAUAGAGUUAUAUGAGGAAUUAAGAGCCUCAAAAAACAUUAAGGUGGUUAUGAAGAUAGGUGGGUGUCAAAACUUAUCACUAUAUGUUGUAAGGAGAUGACACAAUCAGUUGAGAGCAAGUUUGUUUCCAAACCAGUAGCUUUUAGAGUCUCACACCCAUUUUCUUAUAAAGAUAAUAAAGUGGUGUCCUGGAGAUAUGAGUGUGAGGUGACAGCUUAGGGGUAGCAAAAGGAUAUGCCAAAAGGUAAAACUGUCCAUAUAACGGGUGUACUGGGCAUACCUAGAAGUAGAAGAUGUUAUACUCUGGAUAUUUUAGAAAAAGCAAAAAAAAAAAAGAAAGGAUAAGCAAAUUGAACCACAGAUUCCAGGGAAAUGUCUCGAAGUAUGUGCCUAAAAAUGAGGCCUGUGAAUUUUUAAAGUUGAUAAAACAUAGUGAAUAUUCUGUAGUAGAACAAUUAAAUAAGAUGCCAGUUAGGAUUUUUCUGUUCUCACUCUUUUUAAAUUUGAAACCUCAUCGUAAUACUUUGUUAAAGAUAUUAAAUCAAGCUUAUGUGGGCCAUAAUGUAUCAGUGGAAUAUAUGAAUCACUUGGUAAGAAAUCUAAUGAUGCCAUAUCAUAUCUCUUUUAAUGAUGAUGAGAUUCCACCUGAGGUAAAAAGAGCACUAAAGUGUUGCACAUCACUGUCAAAUGUAAGGGCUAAAUAGUAGCUAAGGUCUUCAUUGAUAACGGAUCAGCUACUAAUGUCAUGCCUAUGUCCAUUUUAACCAAGCUACCCUUUGAUAUGUCCCAUAUCUAAGACAGUCAAAUGGUGGUCCGAACGUUUGAUGAGACUAGGUGAAAAGUUUUGAGAGAUGUUGAGUUAUCUAUGCAGAUUGGGUUAUGUGUCUUUAAUAUAAAAUUUCAAGUUAUGGAUAUCUUCUUAUCAUACAAUUACUUAUUGGGGAGGUCGUGGAUCCACAAAGUAAGUACCCUUCCAUUCUCGUUGCAUCAAAAUAUCAAAUUUAAUGUGAAAGGACAGUUGGUGAUUAUGGCUGAGGAGGAAGAUUUACUAGUGACCCAACCCAUAAAUAUCUCAUAUGUGGAAGCAACAGAAGAAUGAUUGGAAUGCUCUUACUGAUCUUUUGAAUCCGUUAAUGUAGUAGGUGAAGGAUUCAAGUUUAAUCGGAUCGUGAUCAAUUAGAUGAUUAAAAAGGGUUGAAGUAUUGGGUUCGACUUGGGCAAAAGACUUCAAAGGAUAAGAGAGCUCCCUAGGAUUAAGGAUUACAAUUGCAGAUUAAGAUUGGGUUAUGAGAUGGAGGAAUGGCAAGACAACAGCAAAAAAGUAUAGAAUGGGCUAAUGAUUUUCCCUCAUUUAAAUGAAACUUUCAUACCUGGAGGAUACAUGCAAGAAGGCAUAAAAGAAGAGCCAAAAUGGGAUGAAGAUUUUACCAAGUUGUCCAUUAACAUGGUGGGUGAUGAAAGUCAAAAUGAGGAAGCUUUGGUUUACCAUUACAUGAUUGAAUAUGAAUUACAGAAUUGGAGGGUCAGCUAAAUGGCUAUUGUUUUCGAUUUUUCUUUAAUGUAAUCACAUUUCCUAAUCUCUUAUGCCCAAAAGCAUUGGGAUGAACUCUUAUGUUUGGGCUUUUUAUUUUUCAUUAUUUCAAUAAAAGUAGGAGCAUUCAUUUUUCUUCUAUUCCAUUCAUUACUCAAUCAAAAUUUCUUGCCAAUAUUUUCCACUUUAUUUUCAGGUCCUUAAAUGAAUAUGAAGAUAAUCAUGACAAUAAUUCAGGGUUUAAUUUUAAAAAUUUGAUUAAUACUGAUGAGCUUGAUACUGAAGAGGACUUUGAGGAAUAUACUUUGUCACCAGAUUUAAUGAGGCUAAUUGAAUAGGAAGAUAAAUCCAUUGAGACUUAUCAAGAAGUUAUUGAAUUGAUCAAUUAGGGUGAUGCUGAAAAUAAAAAAGAAGUCAAGAUUGAUACUUCACUUUUAACAGUUGAUUGGUAGUGGUUAAAGGAGUUGCUUCAAGAAUUUGUGGAUGUAUUCGUCUGGUACUAUCAAGAUAUGCCUGCACUCAGCAUUAAGAUAGUGCAACAUAGGCUACCAUUAAAGUCAGAAUGCAAAUCGGUGUAGCGAAAGCUAAAGAGAAUGAAGCUGAAAAUGCUGUUAAAAAUCAAAGAGAAAGUUAAAAAACAGUUUGAUGCAGGUUUUUUGCAAGUGGCAAAAUAUCCUGAAUGGGUGGCUAAUAUUGUACCUAUCCUCAAAAAAGAUAGAAAGGUACAGAUGUGUGUAGACUAUAGAGAUCUGAACAUAGCUAGCCCUAAAGAUAACUUUUCUUUGCCUCACAUUAAUACUUUGGUAAAUAAUACAGCCUGACAUUCGGUAUUCUUUUUCAUGGAUGCAUUCUCUAGUUAUAAUCAAAUAAAGAUGACCCGAAAUGAAAUGGAAAAGACCAUAUUUAUCACUAUGUGAGAAACUUUUUGCUAUAAGGUUGUCUUUUGGACUAAAAAAUACUGGGACAACUUAUCAAAGAGCUAUGGUAACAUUUUCAUAAUAUGAUGUAUAAGAAGAUUAAAGUGUAUGUUGAUAUGAUUACCAAAUCUCGAAAAAGAGAAGAUCAUGUGGUUAAUCUUAAAAAAUUAUUUAAGAGGUUGAAGAAGUUCUAGCUUAAACUGAAUCUAACCAAAUGUACAUUCAAAGUCAGGUCGGGGAAGCUGUUAAGAUUUAUAGUCAGUAAAAGAGGGAUAGAAGUGGAUCCAGACAAAAUUUAAUCUAUCCAUAAUUUAUCUUUGCUAAGCACAUAAAAAGAGGUUUGAGGUUUUUUGGGCAAAUUGAACUAUAUAUCCUGAUUCAUUUCUCAACUCACUCUUAAAUGUGACCUCAUUUUCAAAUUUUUUUGAAAGAAUAAUCCUAGGGAGUGGAAUGAAUAAUGCCCAAAAGCUUUCGGUAAGAUUAAGCAAUACUUAUCAAAUCUUUCAAUAUUAGCACCUUUGUUUUAGGAAAACCAUUGAUUCUAUACAUUAUGGUACAUGAGGGAUCAAUGAGAUGUGAGCUAGGCCAAUAAGAUAAAUUUGACAAGAAAGAGAAAGCUAUCUAUUACUUGAUCAAGAAAUUUACAGAGUAUGAGUCCAAGUAUUUAUCACUGAAAAAAAUGUGUUGUGCUUUGGCUUGGACAACUAAAAGAUUCAGGCAAUAUAUGCUUUACCAUACGACUUGGCUCAUAGCUAAAUCAGAUCCCAUCAAGUACAUCUUCAAGAAACCAUCACUAACAGGAAAAAUUGUAAGAUGGCAGAUGAUGCUUUCUGAAUACGACAUAGUAUAUGUGAGCCAAAAAGUAAUCAAAGGAAGUGUCAUUGCUGAAUUCUUGAUGGACAGGGCCACUAAUGAUUAUGAGCCCAUGAAACUUGAUUUUUCAGAUAAGGAACUAAUGGGCAUUUUAGAGUUAGAAGAAGAUGAUGAGGGGAGGUAUGUAAAAUGUAUUUUAAUGGGAUUGCCAAUGCCAUGGGGCAUGGGAUUGAAGUAGUUUUAAUAUCUCUAACUGAGCAUUACUAUCCUGUCAUAACAAUAUUGAACUUCAACUGCACUAAUAAUGUAGCUAAAUAUGAGGUUUGUGUUAUGGGAUUGUAUGCUGCUUUAGACAAAAAAAUUGAAACAUUAAGGGUGUUUGGGGAUUCAGCUCUAGUCGUUUAUCAACUAAAAGGUGAAUGGGAAACAAGGGAUUUCAAACUCAUCCCUUACCAUAAAUACAUCUUAGAGCUGUCUAAACAAUUCAAAGCAAUUUAGUUUGAACACUUGCCUCGUGAAGAAAACUAGAUUGCAGAUGCCUUGACUACUUUAGCGGCAAUGGUAUGGAUCGGUGAUACUGUUGAAAUUUAGCUUAUCAAACUAAAUAUUAAGGACAUGCCAGUACAUUGUGUCAAUUUAGAAAAAGAGAAAAAUGGUCGCCCCUGGUGCCAUGAUAUUAUACAAUAUCUAAAAAAUUAAUAGUACCCAGAUCUAGCAAUAGAAAAUAACAAGAGUUUUGUGAAGAUUGGCUAUGAGAUUUUUUUUAGAUAGGGAAAUUUUGUAUAAAAAAGGCAAAGAUCAAGUGUUAUUACGCUGUGUAAAUACCUUUAAAGCAAAAAAGAUUGUUAAGAAAGUUCACAACGACGUAUGUGGAGCGCAUACAAAUGGACAUAUAAUGGCAAGAUAAGUUAUGCAAGUUGGAUAUUACUAGUUGACAAUGGAAAAAGAUUGCAUUGAUUAUGCUAAAAAAAUACCACAAGUGCCAAAUUUAUGUUGACAAGAUUCAUGCUCCACCCAGUGCUUUACAUGUUAUAGUAUCCUCUUGGUCAUUUUUUAUGUGAAAAAUGGAUGUCAUUGGUCCCAUUACCCCAAGGCAUCAAAUGGGAAUAGAUUCAUUUUUGUGAUGAUUGAUUACAUCACUAAAUGGGUCGAAGUUGCCUCUUUCACAAUUGUGACUAGAUCAAUGGUCUGUAAGUUCACCAAAAGAGAAAUAAUUUACAGAUAUGGGCUCCCAAAAAGAAUCAUCUCAGAUAAUGUUAAGAAUUUAAAUAGCAAGAUGAUGCAAGAAAUAUGUGUUCAGUUUAAGAUCAAACACCAUAAUUUAGCUUCAUACUGCCCAAAAAUGAAUAAGACAGUAGAAGCUGUAAAUAAAAAUAUCAAAAGAAUUCUAGAGAAAAUGACAGAAACAUAUAAAGAUUGGCAUGAAAAAUUAUCUUUUGCUCUACAUGCAUAUCAAAUUUUUGUACGCACUUUUACUAGGGCAAUUUUUUUUUCUGGUUUAUGGAAUGGAAGCUGUACUGUCAAUAGAAGUAGAAAUCCUAUCGUUAAGGGUCUUAAGGGAAGUGAGAUUAGAAGAAGCUGAAUGGAUUCAGGAGCAUUAUGUGUAAUUGAACUUUAUUGAAGAGAUGAGAUUGAUGGUUCUUUGCCAAUGAACAAUUGUACCAAAGGAGAAUGAUAAAAGCUCAUGAUAAAAAGGUUAGACUUCGUCAGUUAUGAGAAGGAGAGUUGGUAUUGAAAAGAAUUUUUUCAAGUUAACAUGAUGAUAAAGGGAAAUGGACCUCGAAUUGGAAAAAACCAUAUGUUGUAAAACAAGCCUUUUCAGGAGGAGUUUUAAUUUUGUCAAAAAUGGAUGAAGAUGAACUUCCUAGUCCUAUUAACUUUGAUAUAGUGAAGAAGUACUUUGCUUGAAAAAAAAGAAGAAAAUAGGUUCAAGUUAAAAACCUGAGAGGACGGCUUGAACCAAAAAAAAAAAAAAGAGU